UGCACGAAAGUAGAAUUAAGACAUCCGGGAUAAAUGACACAGCUGAGCUCAAUGAAGCCAAAACAUGUGCGUCCAGGCUUAAUUGGUUGCACAAAGACCAAGCCAGGAUGAGCAGACACGGAUUCAUUAAGCCAGGUGAAACCAAUCCUGGAUAGGUGCGCGCUCACGGCUCACUCAAAUAGACCCCGCCACAGAUCACAGAUUAACUGAUUUACCAUGGCAACUAGAGCCGCGUACUUUUCCCCUUCGGAAGCACAAAUCCUCAUGGAGGCAUACGAGGAGGUAAAAGAUAUAAUUAAGAAGAAAGGCAACACCGCCACAGUGAUAAAGCAAAGAGAAAAAGCGUGGCAAAGUAUUGCAGACCGCCUGAAUGCGUCAUUUAGGUGAAUUCUCUGGUGUGUUGCUGCCAGCCUUUUCUCCUGACACCUUUCACAGACCCCCAGGAAGCACAGCAGGCCUACAACCAUGCCCAUGCCAGGACCAGGGCCAGAGUUGAAAUGACCUUUGGCCUCCUGAAGGCACGCUCUCACUGCCUUCACAAAUCAAGGGUCAGCCCUGUUAGGGCAUGUGAUAUUACUGUGGCUUGUGCGGUCCUCCCCAAUGUGGCCUGCCUGAGGAAGGAGAGGGCCCCCAGAGUGCCACCAGCCAUGGAAUGGGACAAUCCGGCAAUCUUCCCUGAUGACGACAGUGGUCGGCUGCUGAGGGACCAAUAUGUGUUGAAUUAUUUUAGUUAGUAUGUGUGCUUUCAAUUUUGGUUAAAUAUGUCCUGCGGUGGCAGAGGAAUUUGGGUUUUUUUGGGUUCGUUUUUUUAAGAAUUUGGCCUCUUAUGAUGUGUGUGCGGUAUACUGUGUGUAAUACAAGGCUGCAGGGAGGCUACUGCAUCCAUUCAUUUGUCUGUUCAGUUGAUGUGUAUGGAUUUGUCCUGCAUUUAUUUUAGUGUGCAGACAUGCAGGGUGUGUUAUAUACAGACCUUUGAAUGUAUAUGUAUCAUUUUGUAUAAUAUGCUUUGAUUCUGUGCUUUCCAUCUUGUAGAGUCACUGUGACUUCAGUUUCAAAAGGAGCUGAUGGUUUACCUGCUUUGUUUUGUCCUUAUUCAAUAAAGGAACAUAAUGUUA